UACGUAGGGUGCGAGCGUUGUCCGGAAUUACUGGGCGUAAAGAGCUCGUAGGUGGUUUGUCGCGUUGUUCGUGAAAUGCCACAGCUUAACUGUGGGCGUGCGGGCGAUACGGGCAGACUGGAGUACUGCAGGGGAGACUGGAAUUCCUGGUGUAGCGGUGGAAUGCGCAGAUAUCGUAAGGAAGACCAGUGGCGAAGGCGGGUCUCUGGACAGUUCCUGACGCUGAGGCACGAAGGUCAGGGGGAGCAAACGGG
rnacentral:rRNA from 1 species